UUUAGAUGAAGAUGAGGGGAUAUGGUGUAGAUAAAGAUGAGGAGAUAUGGUGUAGAUAAAGAUGAGGAGAUAUGGUUUAGAUCGAGAUAUGGUUUAGAUAAAUAUGAGGGGAUAUGGUGUAGAUAAAGCUGAGGAGAUAUGGUGUAGAUAAAGAUGAGGAGAUAUGGUGUAGAUAAAGAUGAGGAGAUAUGGUUUAGAUCGAGAUAUGGUUUAGAUAAAGAUGAGGAGAUAUGGUAUAGAUAAAGAUGAGGAGAUAUGGUGUAGAUAAAGAUGAGGAGAUAUGGUAUAGAUAAAGAUGAGGAGAUAUGGUGUAGAUAAAGAUGAGGAGAUAUGGUGUAGAUAAAUAUGAUGAGAUAUGGUGUAGAUAAAGAUGAGGAGAUAUGGUUUAGAUCGAGAUAUGGUUUAGAUAAAUAUGAGGGGAUAUGGUGUAGAUAAAGAUGAGGAGAUAUGGUGUAGAUAAAGAUGAGGAGAUAUGGUUUAGAUCGAGAUAUGGUUUAGAUAAAGAUGAGGAGAUAUGAUAUAGAUAAAGAUGAGAAGAUAUGGUGUAGAUAAAGAUGAGGAGAUAUGGUAUAGAUAAAGAUGAGGA